rnacentral:tRNA from 1 species
CGAGACGUAGCUUUAACAAAAGCAUUCAGCUUACACCUGAAAGAUAUCCAUUAAACUGGGUCGUCUUGA